rnacentral:lncRNA from 1 species
CUGGCUGACAACCAACAAAGGGAAUCUGCUCUGCCCACCUCUCUAAAGAGUCUUUAUCUGACUGGAUGUGAUGGUAUCAAGUCUUUUCCUGAGGGAAUACAUCAACUCACUAACCUACAACACCUAGAAAUAAUUAGCUGCCCUGGACUAAAGGAAUGGUGUGAAUUAGAGGAGACCAAGACCUUUCUGGCUCGCAUAGAAAAGAAGGUAUGUACCCUGCCACGCCCUUUGUCAUUCUAAUCUUAUUUUGCAAUGCUUCAUCUUUCUUCUUUUCUUGAUGUAUUCAGUCUUGCAUUUCUAGGUGGGUUCUUUCAUGCAUAAAUGCUGAGAAAUUCGUGUACUUGGAUUUGCAAUUUCCCUUUUGUUCAAAAGUGCCUUGUUUUGCGAAAUAUAACAAUAGUGCAAAGACGAGUAGUCUAAUUUCUAGAGUUCGCCUUGUUUUGGGAAUUUGUUUGCAGUACAGGCCAGUGAGUUAAACUUUUCUUCUUGAUCUGAACAAAGCAUGUUUCUCCUGUAUAUAGAACCUGCACUUAUCACUCAUAUCCACUAGAAUCGGAUCUAAUCAUAUAAUUUCCACCAUUCAUUUUACAGAGGAUUGAGUUCUAGACAGUGCAUGCAUAUACUGCCCAAUCAGCCUGCAAGAUUUUGUUCUGGAUGAUUUAAAAUGUUGGAGUUGAAGAAGGAGCUGAAAUUACAAGCCAUGGUGACGUGAAACUCGUUUGCAAGACCUGCAGCAUGUGACUUUGAAGCUGCAGGCCAUCGCCUGUACUAGUGUUUUGUUCUAUAGGGUCUCGAAACUCAAUGUAGAGUCCUCUCCCCCACCCUUUCUACUUUGUGCUUAGUUUGCAGGUAUAUGUUCCCUGCUCCUUUCACCGCCUCUCUGUUUUUGUAUGUUUACCAAAGGGAAGAUUGCAGUACUUGUAACGUCUGUGAUUUCCAUUUAUUCGGACCCGGUGAGCGUGGUAGGUACUCGCUUGUGUUGGCCAUGCCUACCACUUGUAAUCUGUUGCUAGUUUGGCUGUCAGCAAACUAGUCUACUCUUUACUAGUGACUGCUCUUUACAGUCUUACUCGGUGUUAGCAGCCAAAGCAGAGUUAGCUGCAUGGUUGCAGGCCUGAAUCAACCUACAAGGUUUUGUUGUGUGGAUGAUGUUAAAUUCACAGAGUUUUGCAAGAUGUGCAGCAUCA